GGCCGGGUGGUCUAGUGGUCAGGACGCUAGCCGCGUAAGUUGAAGACGCGGGUUCGAUUCCCGCCUCGGCACCCA